UCAAUGUCGCCUUAUGGUGCCCAAAAAGGUUUUCACCAAUCAGACUCUCUCAUUUUUACUCAUUCAUUUUUCAUCAUUUUUUUUUGAAAAUAAUGCCCAAUCACGAAACAUCAUGCACCCAUAACAUGUUUAGCCUUGACAUUCUCAAAGAUCGAUCUGAAGGUCUUUCUUUGGUUGUAACUUGGCUUUUGGAAAGGAUUAGAAAGAAAGGUCGGCAUGAGGCUCAAAAAUUUACAUAAUAUUAAGUGAAACAUACAACUUUUGGAAUCGACUUUUUAAGGAAAUAAACUUUGUCCCAGUUUCAUUUCAUUCUGGGUAAUUUGAAUUUUCUUUUGGUUAGACCGAACCCCAGAGUAGGAUUGCCUACGUAUCUUGUCACAGCAAGAAUCAAGUCAAACGUAGUUCAGGAAUCUUGUUCUUUUGCUUGAUUUUCAUUCUUUUUUUUCUUGACUUUUCUCUCUUUUUCUUUUUCUUCUUUUUUUUAGAGAGAGAGAUAUUUUUUCCGACUCCAUUUUUCUUGACACUUUUCUGACUCUUCUUUUUCUUGACACUUCUUUUUUCGACUUUUUCAAAUUCUAUUUUGAUUUCAAAAGAGGGAUAUAAAAGAAAUAAAACAAAAACUCAAAAGGGAUAACAAAGGAUGACACAACAUUUGGAUAGCAGAAUGAAAUGCCUUCGUCAUAUCAAUCCUUAAAAACACAAGUACAUAACCUGU
rnacentral:lncRNA from 1 species